AAUUUACCUCUGAGCGGGAAUUCGCUUGGCUUGGUGAUACUUGGUGGAGGCUCCAUCAUUUUAAUUCAGAAGUUCUGACAUGAUGCUCUGAAAUGUAGAGUGAUCCAAAUCAUUCACUUCCAUACGCACGCCACGUCGAGUUCCCCAUUAGCAUCUGCUGAAACGGCGACUCCCCCAUGACAUUCCUAAACCAGAGGUUCUCGCUGCUCACCUUUCUGACGACUGCAGUUUCCAUUAAAUCAACACAGUUCACAGUCCGUUUUUUCAGACUUCCAUCCCUCGGUCGGCUUCAGCUGGACUGACGAGGACAUCCCGUGUUGUGUCUUAUAAGUUUCCUUAUCGUGCGCGGUCCACAUCCUUUGGGUGCUAAGUUAUCUUGUAUAAUGUGAAUAUUCUCGAUAUAAUAUGUUCAAUGGGAUUGGUGGGGUAGGGAAGGAAAUGGUGGAAGCGGUGGGAUUUUUUUUUUUGCUUAUUAAAUUGAAUGUCCAUUAAGGAAUUUCAACUAAAUUAGAAACGCCACACGUGAAGCGUUUCAGGGCGGGUUUGGGUCUCUUGCUUUUUCUGCGCUGUGGUUGCUGGAGGGUUUUUAACGUACUGUAAAGCAAUCCCUGUGCGUUAUUGUUCUAUACUGUAUAUUAGAGAAUGUGUAUUGUGCUACUUUUAGUAGACUCUAAUUUAUUUAAUCUGAUUUGUCAACAAAUGUUCAUUUUUUUCUGUUUUGAAGCAUUUUUUUUUAAUACAGCAAUAAAGCACAAUGGUGACAUUUCCA